UCCAAAACAUGUGGCGCACAGCCAGCGCGGCGUUCCUCCUCGUACAUCGGUUUCACCGGAACCUCACGGGGAACAACACGUGCUUCGAGUCAUCCUGUACCAGCUCCAUGCAUAUAUGUACUGGGGGACGUGCAGGGGACCCACAAUCACAUCGAUUGUUUCAACAGCAACUCAAUCGGAAGCUUUAUCACCAUGUCCUGCCUUCGUACCAUCUUCCUUUUCGCUCUCAUCUUUGGUACCAUGGCUCUUCUGGCUGAAGCUGCGCCAGAGCCUCUGCCGCAACCGGAAGGGGGACCCAUGCGCAUACG